GCUGGGCAAGGUGGUGCAUGCCUGUAAUCCCAGCAACUUGGGAGGCUAGGGCAGGAGGAUUGAGAGUUCAAAGCCAGCCUCAGCAAAAGUGAGGCACUAAGCAACUCAGUGAGACCCUGUCUCUA
rnacentral:sRNA from 1 species